rnacentral:rRNA from 1 species
UCAGGAUGAACGCUAGCUACAGGCUUAACACAUGCAAGUCGAGGGCAGCAUGAAGUUUGCUUGCAAACUUGAUGGCGACCGGCGCACGGGUGAGUAACGCGUAUCCAACCUUCCCUAUACUAGAGGAUAGCCCGGCGAAAGUCGGAUUAAUACUCUAUAUUCUUCGUAGAAGACAUCUGAAAUGAAGCAAAGGUUUACCGGUAUAGGAUGGGGAUGCGUCUGAUUAGGUUGUUGGCGGGGUAACGGCCCACCAAGCCCACGAUCAGUAGGGGUUCUGAGAGGAAGGUCCCCCACAUUGGAACUGAGACACGGUCCAAACUCCUACGGGAGGCAGCAGUGAGGAAUAUUGGUCAAUGGACGAGAGUCUGAACCAGCCAAGUAGCGUGCAGGAUGACGGCCCUAUGGGUUGUAAACUGCUUUUAUACAGGGAUAAAGUGACGUACGUGUACGUUUUUGUAGGUACUGUAUGAAUAAGGACCGGCUAAUUCCGUGCCAGCAGCUGC